UGGGGAAUUUUGGACAAUGGACGCAAGUCUGAUCCAGCCAUGCCGCGUGCGGGAAGAAGGCCUUCGGGUUGUAAACCGCUUUUGUCAGGGAAGAAACGAGUUUCUCUAAUACAGAGACUUAAUGACGGUACCUGAAGAAUAAGCACCGGCUAACUACGUGCCAGCAGCCGCGGUAAUACGUAGGGUGCGAGCGUUAAUCGGAAUUACUGGGCGUAAGGCGUGCGCAGGCGGUUAUAUAAGACAGAUGUGAAAUCCCCGGGCUCAACCUGGGACCUGCAUUUGUGACUGCAUAGCUAGAGUACGGUAGAGGGGGAUGGAAUUCCGCGUGUAGCAGUGAAAUGCGUAGAUAUGCGGAGGAACACCGAUGGCGAAGGCAAUCCCCUGGACCUGUACUGACGCUCAUGCACGAAAGCGUGGGGAGCAAACA
rnacentral:rRNA from 1 species